rnacentral:rRNA from 1 species
UGUUUGGAGAGUUUGAUCCUGGCUCAGGACGAACGCUGGCGGCGUGCUUAACACAUGCAAGUCGAACGGUGAAGGGACCUGCUUUUGUGGGUCCUGGAUGAGUGGCGAACGGGUGAGUAACACGUGAGUAACCUGCCCCCUUCUUCUGGAUAACCGCAUGAAAGUGUGGCUAAUACGGGAUAUUCUGUGCCUGCUGCAUGGUGGGUGUGGGAAAGAUGCGCCUUUGGGUGUUUUUGGUGGGGGAUGGGCUCGCGGCCUAUCAGCUUGUUGGUGGGGUGAUGGCCUACCAAGGCGGUGACGGGUAGCCGGCCUGAGAGGGUGGACGGUCACACUGGGACUGAGACACGGCCCAGACUCCUACGGGAGGCAGCAGUGGGGAAUAUUGCACAAUGGGCGCAAGCCUGAUGCAGCGACGCCGCGUGAGGGAUGGAGGCCUUCGGGUUGUAAACCUCUUUCGCCAGUGAAGCAGGCCUGUCCCUUUUGUGGGUGGGUUGACGGUAGCUGGAUAAGAAGCGCCGGCUAACUACGUGCCAGCAGCCGCGGUAAUACGUAGGGCGCGAGCGUUGUCCGGAAUUAUUGGGCGUAAAGAGCUCGUAGGCGGCUGGUCGCGUCUGUCGUGAAAUCCUCUGGCUUAACUGGGGGCUUGCGGUGGGUACGGGCCGGCUUGAGUGCGGUAGGGGAGACUGGAACUCCUGGUGUAGCGGUGGAAUGCGCAGAUAUCAGGAAGAACACCGGUGGCGAAGGCGGGUCUCUGGGCCGUUACUGACGCUGAGGAGCGAAAGCGUGGGGAGCGAACAGGAUUAGAUACCCUGGUAGUCCACGCCGUAAACGUUGGGCACUAGGUGUGGGGGGCCUUUUCCGGGUCUUCCGCGCCGUAGCUAACGCAUUAAGUGCCCCGCCUGGGGAGUACGGCCGCAAGGCUAAAACUCAAAGGAAUUGACGGGGGCCCGCACAAGCGGCGGAGCAUGCGGAUUAAUUCGAUGCAACGCGAAGAACCUUACCAAGGCUUGACAUGUGC